GGCAACCUGCUCAGUUUCUCUCUGCAGUGUGGAAGGUUUGUUCUUUUGCUGUUUGCGGUAAAUCUUGCUGCUGCUCACUGUUUUGGUUUGCAUUCCCUUUAUGAGCUGUGACACUCACCGCAAAGGUCUGCAGUUUCACUCCUGAGGCCAGUGCGACCACGAACCCACAGGGAGGAAUGAACAACUCCCGACAGGAGGAAUGAACAAUUCCAGACGCGCGCCGCCUUAAGAGCUGUAACACUCACCACGAAAGUCUGCAGCUUCACUCCUGAAGCUAGCAAGACCACGAACCCACUAGAAGGAAAAAACUCUGAACGCGUCUGAACAUCAGAAGGAGAAAACUUCGGACACACCGUCUUUAAGAACUGGAACACUUAUACCAUGAGGGUCUGCGGCUUCAUUCUUGAGGUUAGUGAAAUCAGGAACCCACCAAUUCCGGACACAAUAUUAGUAGUUCUUAUUCAGGGUAUUGAAAUGGAAGGUUAUUUUUAUUUUCAUCUACUACUUUCAUUUUGACUUCUAAACGUUUUACAAUGAACAGUAUCAUUUUGAAAAGAUAUUAUUUUAAUCUUACUUUGAAAUAUUUCAAAUUUAUGACAUGCGUAAAUAUUAAACACCUACUUUUUUUUUAUUAAUAUAUUUUGAGACAGAGUCUCAUUCUGUCGCCCAGGCUGGAGUGCAGUGGUGUGAUCUUGGCUCACUGCAACCUCUGCCUCCCAGGUUCAAGUGAUUCUCCUGCCUCAGCCUCCCGAGUAGCUGGGAUUACAGGCACAUGCCACUGUGCCCAGCUAAUUUUUGUAUUUUUAGUACAGAUGGGGUUUCACCAUGUUGCCUAGGCUGGUCUUGAACUCGUGACCUCUGGUGGUUCACCCAUCUCAGCCUCCCAAAGUGCUGGGAUUACAGUAGUGAGCCUUUGCACCUGGCCUAAGUCUCCUUCUUUAGAGUAACCAUUGUCCUCAUAUUUAUUCUUGCACUUCCUGAUCAAAUUUUGUAUCUUUAGUUGAUAUGCACGUAAUAUGGUUUAGAUGUCCUCCCCAAAUCUCAUGUUAAAACAUGAUUCUCACUGUUGGAGGGGGGCCUUAUGGGAGGCGUUGGGGUAAUGGGGCUGGAUCCCUAUUAAUGCCUUGAAGCCCUCCCGAGAGUACUG
rnacentral:lncRNA from 1 species